rnacentral:rRNA from 1 species
CUUAACCUACAGACUGCGUUUGAAACUGUAUAUCUUGAGAGCAGCAGAGGAAGGCGGAAUUCCUGGUGUAGUGGUGAAAUACGUAGAUAUCAGGAAGAACACCAGUGGCGAAGGCGGUCUUCUGGGCUGCAUCUGACGCUCAUGUACGAAAGCUGGGGUAGCGAACGGGAUUAGAUACCCCGGUAGUCCCAGCUGUAAACGAUGGACACUAGGUGUUGGAGGUUCGAAUCCUUCAGUGCCGGAGUUAACGCAUUAAGUGUCCCGCCUGGGGAAUACGGUCGCAAGACUGAAACUCAAAGGAAUUGACGGGGGCCCGCACAAGCGGUGGAGCAUGUGGUUUAAUUCGAUGCAACGCGAAGAACCUUACCGAGAAUUGACAUCCCGUGACUACCUGUGAGAGCAGGGUUUAGUGUUUACACUACAC